rnacentral:RNase_P_RNA from 1 species
GCGGAGGGCCGGAUGGCCGCACCCUUAUGGGUGAGGAAAGUCCGGACUCCCCGAAGCGACGGUGCCGGGUAACGCCCGGGCGGGGAAACCCGACGGACAGCGCCACAGAGAACAGACCGCCCGGGCUUCGGCCCGCGGCAAGGGUGAAACGGUGGGGUAAGAGCCCACCGCGGGGGCGGCAACGUCCCCGGCGACGGCAAGCCCCACCGGGAGCAAUGCCAUGUAGGGACCCCGUGGGCCGGCAACGGCCCGGGACGGCUUCGCCCCAGGGGUCCGGGUCGGCAGCACGACCCCGCCGGCGACGGCGGGGCCAGAGGAAUGGCCAUCCCGCGUCCCCAAUGGGUCGCGGACAGAAUCCGGCUUAUAGGCUCUCCGCGCAU